UCGUCAGCUCGUGUCGUGAGAUGUUGGGUUAAGUCCCGCAACGAGCGCAACCCUCACUUUUAGUUGUCAUCAUUAAGUUGGGCACUCUGAAAGAACUGCCAGUGAUAAGCUGGAGGAAGGUGGGGAUGACGUCAAGUCCUCAUGGCCCUUACGUGUUGGGCUACACACGUGCUACAAUGGCAUCUACAACAGGAAGCAAAACGGCAACGUUAAGCAAAUCCCGAAAAGAUGCCUCAGUUCGGAUUGCACUCUGCAACUCGAGUGCAUGAAGCUGGAAUUACUAGUAAUCGUGGAUCAGCGUGCCACGGUGACAGCGUACCCGGAUAUUGAACUCCC
rnacentral:rRNA from 1 species